UACGUAGGUGGCAAGCGUUGUCCGGAAUUAUUGGGCGUAAAGCGCGCGCAGGUGGUUUCUUAAGUCUGAUGUGAAAGCCCACGGCUCAACCGUGGAGGGUCAUUGGAAACUGGGGAACUUGAGUGCAGGAGAGAAGAGUGGAAUUCCACGUGUAGCGGUGAAAUGCGUAGAGAUGUGGAGGAACACCAGUGGCGAAGGCGACUCUUUGGCCUGUAACUGACGCUGAGGUGCGAAAGCGUGGGGAGCAAACAGG
rnacentral:rRNA from 1 species